AGUGAACGCUGGCGGUAGGCCUAACACAUGCAAGUCGAACGGCAGCACAGUAAGAGCUUGCUCUUACGGGUGGCGAGUGGCGGACGGGUGAGGAAUACAUCGGAAUCUACUUUUUCGUGGGGGAUAACGUAGGGAAACUUACGCUAAUACCGCAUACGACCUACGGGUGAAAGCAGGGGAUCUUCGGACCUUGCGCGAUUGAAUGAGCCGAUGUCGGAUUAGCUAGUUGGCGGGGUAAAGGCCCACCAAGGCGACGAUCCGUAGCUGGUCUGAGAGGAUGGUCCGCCACACUGGAACUGAGACACGGUCCAGGCGCCUACGGGAGGGAGCAGUGGGGAAUAUUAGACAAUGGGCGCAAGCCUGAUCCAGCCAGACCGCGUGGGUGAAAGAAGCCUUCGGGUUGGAAAGCCCGUUUGUUGGGAAAGAAAAGCAGCAGGGUAAUACCCCGCUGUUCUGACGGUACCCAAAGAAUAAGCACCGGCUAACUUCGUG
rnacentral:rRNA from 1 species